GCGUCGGUGAUGCAACAGUUAGCAUACGCUACAGGAAAGAGUGAGAUCUGGGUUCGAAUCUCAGCUGACGCA